rnacentral:rRNA from 1 species
UACGUAGGGUGCGAGCGUUAAUCGGAAUUACUGGGCGUAAAGCGUGCGCAGGCGGUUUGCUAAGACCGAUGUGAAAUCCCCGGGCUUAACCUGGGAACUGCAUUGGUGACUGGCAGGCUAGAGUAUGGCAGAGGGGGUAGAAUUCCACGUGUAGCAGUGAAAUGCGUAGAGAUGUGGAGGAAUACCGAUGGCGAAGGCAGCCCCCUGGGCCAAUACUGACGCUCAUGCACGAAAGGCGUGGGGAGCAACAGG